CAGUGUUUUCACUGAUUUGGGUUUAAGGUCAAAGAUAAUAUCCCAUUCAGCUUGCAGGCUUACUGAAACGUCUAGCUUCAUUUCAUGACCUUGAAGACAAAGUUUAGAGAGACAAAUGUCUAAGAAUUUAAAACAAAGUGAGGAAGAAGAGCUGGGGAAGACAACGAAUGCUACAAGCUCUUCGGCUAUGGCCACAAACACCAAAAUGUGCCAGGAAUCUGUAGUAAAAUAAAUAGCGCCUACUGCAGACCCUGGGAUAUGGAUUCAGGGUUCAGUGCUUCCCAGCAGCAAUAGGAAGAGAAAUAAAAAGCAAACUCUACACAGCUUACAAUACCUGGAUACUAAGAAGGGACCUAAUGUUCUUGCGUGCAUUCACACAUAUAUGGAAAAGAUUAUCAAAGAAUCAGAAAAGGAUGUUCUGUCUUCUAAAUCUAUGGCUUCUGUUUUCUUUUAGACCCUACUGUCCAGUCAUGCCUGAUAUACGCUGAGAUACAGAAGUGUUUCCUCUGUGGAGGAACAACUUGAAAUCCUUCGAUAUUACCAUAAUAAAGACUACCUACGGUGACCUUCCCAGCCCAGGAAAUGUGACCAGACAGCCUUCAUUCAAGACCGGUAUUCUUACAUUACAUAAAGCAAUCAGCAUCUUCCCAGGAAAAUCCUCUCAGCUGCUAUGGAGGAAAAAGAACUCUGUCAGAGUGACAAGCAAAAAAAAUUGAAGUACAUUUCUUUUCUCUCUAGAGACACUAAAGUUAAUGAAAUAAAACAUGUAGCCCUUUAAAAUGCUGCAGCCAUGAGGCCCCAAGUCUUGAAAGCUCCUCUCGUUUUGCCGCUGUGGGACCAUAACAAUUUAGCAGCAGCAGCAAGCCCUUGAACCAAGAUGCACAGAAGGAAGGAUUCCUUGCUGGACUUCACAAAAACAACCCAAGAGACCCAUCAACUCCGGUGUCCCCAAGUGAACUGGUAGUAGGACUGUAAUAAGAGACACAAACUUGGCCAAAUGACUAACCAAGCCAGAUAGUAAAGGGCAUCUGUAAGGGAUGUUACUAUCCCUGCCUUCUGCUAUGGGUACACAGGAUUCCAGGACACAUGAAAAAUGUAAAACCACCUUCCUCCAAAACUUCUACAUCAUCACUCCAUUUUCAGCAUUGGAAAACCAUACAUAACAUGGUUUUUUCUUUAGAUUCCAGUGCUUACUUACUCUCCAAGGAUGCCUUAUAUGGCAGAAAGUCAAACUGUAAUUUUUUUUUAAUUUCACUAUACUUUCCUUUUGAUUGGCUCGCAUAAGUGAUAUAUAAUAAAUAUCCAUUUUUAGCCGUA